UCAGUCCGAAGUGCUGAAGAAGGUGCUGAGGAGCCAAGGUUGCUGGCAAUGGAGAGAAGAGGCUGAAGUGCAGCUUUAGGGGUUACACACAACCUUGAAAAGCCAUUUCUCAGACUUCCUUGUAGCCAGAUGUGGCCAUAUGACUACGCUUCAGCCAGUCAGAUGCAAGGCCAAAGAUGCUCUAAAUGAUUUCAGUCUCUAAGCUGUUGAGACCUGCUUUGUGGACCGUCAGGUGGCUGGAUUUGUAAAUGUUCAAUGGUUUCCAGUGCACGUGUCUGUGAGUGCAAAGCAGAGGGCAAGAAGAUGACCAUUUAGCUCUUCAUCCUAUGGUGAAAAACAAAUUCUCUCUCCACCAUCCAGAAUGCCUGAUGCUGCUGGAAGAUAGAGUUAAACUUGCAUUUUGCCUCUAGGACAGUGGUUCUCAACCUCCCUAAUGCCUCGACCCUUUAAUACAGUUCUUCAUGUUGUGGUGACCCC